AUUUGCUAGGUGGGGAGUUAGCGGUGCCCUGUACUUGCAAUCCGCUUUAGCAAGGCUGAAUACCAAGAUUCGGGUAGUUUGCGUGAUGACGAGUUUAGCACGUGGUGUUGAGAUUGAGGCAUCUUAUGACGUAAUAAUUAUGAACCAUGUCAGGUCAGGAAUGAAGCAGCAUUAAGUAAUUUUUUACGGGUGUGAGUAUUUGUCAAGGUUGAGCUGGCGACUAAACUAACGGUUGUGUUAGCUAUUCAACUCUUGGUUGCAUAU
rnacentral:SRP_RNA from 2 species